GUCAGACUUUAGUCGUCCUAAAGUCAUCUAGUGCAUGGGAGGCAUAAUCUACAAGUCUUUGGACUUAUACAAACAUCCAGACAAUAGCAUAAAAUAAUAUGCAACACUUUUCCUAUUAUACUAAUUUAAGGCAAAAUGUUUCAACACUUCAUUUCUGUUUUUGCCCACCAUCUUCAGUGAAGGGACUUCGUACAGAAUGGACACAAUCUUCAGUGAAAAGACUGGGACACAGAAGAUAGUUCUAAAAAGGAGGAUCUUAUAGCAGCCUCAGAUCCUAUCAGGGGAAAUGGCAGCAGCCAGGAUUAGGAAGAAUGGAGAGAAAGAAAAGAGAGAAGAGAGAGUCACCUACUUCAUAUCUUGUAUCAUUUUCAUCAAACAUCUUUGGAGAUACCUUCCAAACGGAGAGUUCCAUCUGCUUUAAGCCUGGGGUCAUUUUCUUCAAAGUACACAAGGAAUCAUUUUUAUUUCAAAUACAAGAUUCAGUGUUCCAGAGGUAAAACGGACAUCAGAACAUCACAAAACAGCAAAACAAAAGACAUCACAAUUAAAAGUCAGAAAAUAGAUAAAAGUCAUAUAAAAGUCAUAAAAACAUUUUGGGGAAUACUUGCGAGAUGAGGAGAUCCACCUGCUUAAAAUCUGGAGCCAUUUUCACGACACAUGUUGAAUGUUAUGUCCAUUUCAACAAGUUUCAAACAACAGAAAAUGAAAAUUAAUAAACUUGUCAUAAAAAAUGGACACAUAGACAUCUCCGAAGCUACAGGAACAGUAGAAAAGCAAAGAAGAAUUGUGAUCGAAUUAAAUCUAAAGGAAUCUCCCGAUCAAACAGUAAAAGUGCGAUAUUCAGUUGUCGUACCUUCCUAUAUUUGAAAGGCGUUUCUUACGUUAUGACGUACAGUGCGUGCGCCGUAGUAGGCCUAUAUAAAGGAUUGCGCGAGAGUACAACAUCCUUUCUCUUUUAAAUACGACAGACAACAGGUGAUCACUCCACAACUGAAGUGUCAGAAAGGAUCAACACCAACACGACCGAGUCAUCCGGUUUCAACAUGACCCCACUGAAGAUUCUUGCUGCUGCAGUUCCUCGAAUUAUUGAUACAUACCGUAUCAUGAAGGCCAUUCAAAAUCAGAGGCACAGGGAGCCACAGUUGGAUCGGACAGACCCACAGAGACAGCCCCUGGAGCACGGCCAAAACGACAGGAAUGACGCCUCAGUACAGCGCUUCCCCUGGUACACAAAGAAGGAGAUGGUGUUGAUAAUGAGCAGGCGGAUGGGGUCCGUGUUCCUGUCCCCUGCCCAGCCCAGACUGCAGGGGGGUCUGCUUGCUCCACCCCAAGUCCAGGAGAGGUUGGAGCUUGCUCCGCCCCAAGUCCAGGAGAGGUCGGAGCUUGCUGAUUGGGGUGGCAAUGGUGAUGGGAAGGGGGAGGGAUUAAUUUUAUGAGUUUGUUAGGAUUUU